AUGAAGAAUGGAGGACAUUCAGCGGGAGUGGCGGCGGUAGUUUUUGAUGAUUGUUAUUUUAUGGCGUGCGAUUUUCUGCGUAUUAGUUUUGAGCAUUGUAAUAGGGAAGCAAAUAAAGUUCCUCAUGAACUUGCUAGAUUAGCUAAAUUUUCUGUGACUAGAGAUUGUUUUGAGUAACCUAUGAAUGAGCUGGUAACUUUUCUUAUUAACGAUGUAAGUGCUAUUUCCAAUGAAUAA
rnacentral:rRNA from 1 species